rnacentral:lncRNA from 1 species
UUUUCUAGCGCCACUUUGUUUCGAAUAAAUGAAAUGGUAUAAUUGGUAAAAAAGCAUAUGUAAAGAGUUACAAGGGAGAGGUCUUAAGUUCGAAUCUCACUAUCCCCACUUUUAGAAUUUUCCUCCUUUUUAUGUUUUAACUUCAAUUACAAUCAAAUUUGUAUUUUUAAAAUUUUAUUUAAUUUUAAAUAUAUGUUUAAAUAAAAAUUGGUUUUUUUAUUUUAAUUUUC